UACCUGGUUGAUCCUGCCAGUAAUCAUAUGCUUGUCUCAAAGAUUAAGCCAUGCAUGUCUAAGUACAUGCCGAAAUAAGGCGAAACCGCGAAUGGCUCAUUAAAUCAGUUAUGGUUCCUUAGAUCGUUUCUUCCUACAUGGAUAACUGUGGCAAUUCUAAAGCUAAUACAUGCAGUGAGCCUGAAGCCCUUUGGGCGACGGAUGCUUUUAUUAGACCAAGAUCGAUUGGGUUUCGGCCCGUAUUGUGUGGUGACUCUGGAUAACUUUGUGCUGAUCGCAUAGCCACGAGCCGGCGACGUUUCUUUCAAGUGUCUGCCUUAUCAACUUUCGAUGGUAGGUUACUUGCUUACCAUGGUUGUUACGGGUAACGGAGAAUCAGGGUUCGAUUCCGGAGAGGGAGCCUGAGAAACGGCUACCACAUCCAAGGAAGGCAGCAGGCGCGCAAAUUACCCACUCCCGGCACGGGGAGGUAGUGACGAAAAAUAACAAUACGGGACUCUUUUGAGGCCCCGUAAUUGAAAUGAGUACAAUCUAAAUCCUUUAACGAGGAUCAAUUGGAGGGCAAGUCUGGUGCCAGCAGCCGCGGUAAUUCCAGCUCCAAUAGCGUAUACUAAAGCUGCUGCGGUUAAAAAGCUCGUAGUUGGAUCUCAGUUCCAGACGAGUAGUGCAUCUACCCGAUGCGACGGCUCGGACUGAACAUCAUGCCGGUCCUUUCUUGGUGGACUUCAUUGUGUGCCUCGAGAAGGCCGGUGCUUUUACUUUGAAAAAAUUAGAGUGCUCAACGCAGGCGAGUCGCCUGAAUAAACUUACAUGGAGUAAUAGAAGAAGACCUCGUUUCUGUUCUGUUGGUUUUUGGAAUACGAGGUAAUGAUUAAGAGGGACAGACGGGGGCAUUCGUAUUGCGGCGCUAGAGGUGCAAUUCUUGGACCGUCGCAAGACGAACUACUGCGAAAGCAUUUGCCAAGAAUGUUUUCUUUGAUCAAGAACGAAAGUCAGAGGUUCGCAGGCGAUCAGAUACCGCCCUAGUUCUGACCAUAAACGAUGCCAACCAGCGAUCCGCCUGAGUUACUCAAAUGACUCGGCGGGCAGCUUCCGCGAAACCAAAGUGUUUGGGUUCUGGGGGAAGUAUGGUUGCAAAGCUGAAACAUAAAGGAAUUGACGGAAGGGCACCACCAGGAGUGGAGCCUGCGGCUUAAUUUGACUCAACACGGGAAAACUUACCCGGCCCGGACACUGGGAUGAUUGACAGAUUGAGAGCUCUUUCUUGAUUCGGUGGAUGGUGGUGCAUGGCCGUUCUUAGUUGGUGGAGCGAUUUGUCUGCUAAAUUCCGAUAACGAACGAGACUCUAGCCUAUUAAAUAGGUGCGGGGUUCCCAGCACCUUACAACCUCCUUAGAGGGACAAGCGGCUCCUAGCCGCACGAAACAGAGCAAUAACAGGUCUGUGAUGCCCUUAGAUGUCCGGGGCCGCACGCGCGCUACACUGAAGGAAGCAGCGUGUCUUUAUCCCUGUCUGAAAAGACUGGGUAAACCGUGGAACUUCUUUCGUGAUUAGGAUAGGGGCUUGCAAUUGUUCCCCUUGAACGAGGAAUUCCCAGUAAGCGCGAGUCAUAAGCUCGCGUUGAUUACGUCCCUGCCCUUAGUACACACCGCCCGUCGCUACUACCGAUUGAAUGAUUUAGUGAGGUCUUCGGACCGAUGUCCGGCGCGGCCUUUCGGUUGCGCCGGUCUGUUGGAAAGAUGACCAAACUUGAUCAUUUAGAGGAAGUAAAAGUCGUAACAAGGUUUCCGUAGGUGAACCUGCGGAAGGAUCAUUA
rnacentral:rRNA from 1 species